rnacentral:hammerhead_ribozyme from 1 species
GCACUUUUGAUGAGUUCCAAACAGGACGAAACAGUUGUCGAGUGC